rnacentral:rRNA from 1 species
ACUCCUACGGGAGGCAGCAGUGGGGAAUCUUAGACAAUGGGGGAAACCCUGAUCUAGCCAUGCCGCGUGAUCGAUGAAGGCCUUAGGGUUGUAAAGCUCUUUCAGUGGGGAAGAUAAUGACGGUACCCACAGAAGAAGCCCCGGCUAACUUCGUGCCAGCAGCCGCGGUAAU